rnacentral:rRNA from 1 species
GUGCCUACGGGACGCAGCAGUGGGGAAUAUUGCACAAUGGGGGGAACCCUGAUGCAGCGACGCCGCGUGGGUGAAGGAGCACCUCGGUGCGUAAAGCCCUAUCGGCAGGGAAGAAAAGCGAACAGGUUCGCCUGGACGGUACCUGACUAAGAAGCCCCGGCUAACUACGUGCCAGCAGCCGCGGUAAUACGUAGGGGGCAAGCGUUAUCCGGAUUCACUAGGUGUAAAGGGAGCGUAGACGGCGGCGCAAGUCUGGAGUGAAAGCCCGGAGCCCCACCCCGGGACUGGUCUGGAAACUGCGGCGC